rnacentral:lncRNA from 1 species
AAAUAUCAUCUCUUAAUACCACAUCCGAUAUGAGGGUGAAUUGGGCUGUUCCCAUACCCCGUCUAGUAUGAGCGCCAAAAAUACCAUUCCUCGAUACCCUGUCCGGUAUAAAGCAACGUUUAUAUGUACUCAGUCUGUCCACCAUCUUUCAGGAUAUCUAGUAAGGCUACCAUUCAUUAAUUCACGUGAUCAAUCAAUU